CAUUACCGAGUUAGGGUCUUU
rnacentral:rRNA from 1 species